AAGCGUUUGUGACCAGACUUGGACUUGGUUAAUCAUCUGGGGUUCUCCCCAGUGCACUUCUCCAGUUCAGGCCAGCAUCAGUUUUCGCCGGGGGAUAAAGGCUUUGGGAAUGUGGCUCCCCUCGGGGAGUGUUAUAGCCCAUUGUGUAAUACCCUGGCGGGGACUGAGGUUCGCGCAUCUGCAAGGAUGCUGGCGUAAUGGUCAUCAACGA
rnacentral:rRNA from 1 species